UUUCCGUAGGUGAACCUGCGGAAGGAUCAUUACUGAGUGAGGGCCCCUCGGGGUCCAGCCUCCCACCCGUGUUUAACGAACCUUGUUGCUUCGGCGGGCCCGCCUCACGGCCGCCGGGGGGCAUCUGCCCCCGGGCCCGCGCCCGCCGAAGCCACCUGUGAACGCUGUCUGAAGUAUGCAGUCUGAGCGAAAACUAAAUAAGUUAAAACUUUCAACAACGGAUCUCUUGGUUCCG
rnacentral:misc_RNA from 1 species